rnacentral:rRNA from 1 species
AGAGUUUGAUCAUGGCUCAGAUUGAACGCUGGCGGUAUGCCUUACACAUGCAAGUCGAACGGUAGAGGGGCAACCCUUGAGAGUGGCGAACGGGUGAGUAAUACAUCGGAACGUGCCCAGUCGUGGGGGAUAACGUAGCGAAAGCUACGCUAAUACCGCAUACGACCCGAGGGUGAAAGCGGGGGACUCGCAAGAGCCUCGCGCGAUUGGAGCGGCCGAUGGCAGAUUAGGUAGUUGGUGGGGUAAAGGCCCACCAAGCCUGCGAUCUGUAGCUGGUCUGAGAGGACGCCCAGCCACACUGGGACUGAGACACGGCCCAGACUCCUACGGGAGGCAGCAGUGGGGAAUUUUGGACAAUGGGCGAAAGCCUGAUCCAGCCAUACCGCGUGCGGGAAGAAGGCCUUCGGGUUGUAAACCGCUUUUGUCAGGGAAGAAAUCCUUUGGGUUAAUACCUCGGAGGGAUGAGCG